rnacentral:lncRNA from 1 species
AUAUUUUAUAAGAUUUCUAGAUAGCUCGGGUGCAUUUCCAGAACAACGAGCUAUGGCUGCUUUUGUUCUGGCUGUCAUAGUGGACGGACACCGACGAGGCCAGGAAGCAUGUCUUGAAGCAAAUUUGAUUGGUGUUUGUCUGGGGCACCUUGAAGCAUCGAUACCAAGUGAUCCACAGCCAGAACCAUUGUUUUUACAAUGGCUUUGUCUUUGUCUUGGAAAGUUGUGGGAAGAUUUUAUGGAGGCCCAAAUAAUGGGCAGGGAGGCAAAUGCUUUUCAAAAAUUGGCACCUCUGGUUUCCGAGCCCCAACCUGAGGUGAAGCCCAGAUUUCUUCAUAUUAUCCUUCUUUUAGUAGUGUAGUUGCUGACCAUAACAAUCCCUUGCAGGUAAGGGCUGCUGCUGUUUUUGCCCUGGGUACCUUAGUUGAUAUUGGGUUUGACUCUAGUAAAAGUGUUGUGGACGAUGAAUUUGAUGAUGAUGAAAAGAUUAGAGCAGAAGAAGCUAUCAUUAAAAGUCUCUUAGAUGUUGUCUCAGAUGGGAGUCCACUUGUCCGGGCAGAGGUUGCUGUAGGUACGCAAAGCAUGCAACUCUUGAACAUUCAUGAUCUUUGGACUAUGGGUACCUAAAUAGUUAUUUAACUUCAAAGCUAAAAUAUUCUAACCUAAUGAGAUUAUUUUAAAUUAGAUACGUCUCUCCUACCUUUUAUUUAUUGAUUUACCUUUUACUGAAUUUGAAUAACUCCAAUUUACAUAGGCAUCUAAUUUUUUUGUUGCGUUAGCUAGAGAGCCUGAUAGUUUCUAACUCAAUACAACCUCGAAACCAUAUUGUUCUUCGCUUAGAAAGUUCAUAUAUAAUUUUGUGCAAUUUCCAAUGUCUUUUUCAUUCUGCAUGUACAUCUUGAAGCGAGCUUGCUUACUUUUAUUUCUUUCCUAUUUGAUCCCCAAGUCUUAUCUCUUGUUAAUGUUUCUACAGCUCUUGCACGUUUUGCCUUCGGCCACAAACAGCACCUAAAGUCAGCCGCAUCUUCAUAUUGCAAGCCUCAGUCAAGUUCUUUGCUUACUUCGCUCCCUUCAAUAGCUAAACUCCAUGAUGCUGGGAGUGCAAAACUUGUUUCUUUACACAUGAGUCCUCUGACUAGAGCUAGCACUGAUAGCCAACCAGUGGCUCGUGAGGCCAAGAUCUCAAGCAGCCCUCUUGGCUCGGCUGGGCUGAUGAAUGGAUCUCCAUUAUCUGAUGAUUCUUCGUUACAUUCUGAUUCUGGAAUCAUGCUUGACAGUGUCAGCAAUGGAGCUGGCCAUCACCAAAGACUAUUGGACAAUGCUGUUUAUUCGCAGUGCAUUCGAGCUAUGUUUGCCUUAGCUAGAGACCCAUCUCCACGUAUUGCAAGUCUCGGGCGGCGUGUGCUUUCUAUCAUUGGAAUCGAACAAGUUGUUGCGAAAUCCUCGAAGCCCACUGGCCGACUAGGGGAAGCCGCAACGACAUCUAACACUCCUCUUACUGGCCUAGCUCGUUCAUCCUCAUGGUUUGAUAUGCAUGCAGGUAGCUGUUCAUGGAGUGAAAUUUCUGAAAGUUGUGCUUAAUUCAGGAAAUUGUCCUUUAUUGAGUGUUUGUAAAUUUGAUCUUGAUCUCCGAACCUCGCCCCAAUCGUGACAAUAACUCUAGGGCCGAGCGAUUCGAUUUUGAGGGAUUUGGGGUGUUUGAUUCUUCUCUGGUGUGUUCUCCGAUUUGGAUGGCAUUGGGAGACUUAAUGGUAUCUCGGUUCUCGCAAUCCUCAGUUUCUCUGGCUUCCAGUCACCGCUACGACGACGACUGUGUCUCCUCCAGUCAAGGUGAUUCCUCGCGGAGGAAAGAUUCCGAUGCUACGAGUAGUAUCUACGGAAAUGGCACGGCGGAGAGAGCCUCCGCUACCAGCAUGGCGUACUUGCCUCAGACUAUCGUCCUCCGGGAGCUUAGGCACGACGCGUCCGAGGCGUCUGCGCUUUUGGGGACUUCCGAGGGGAUUGUGUUGGCUCCUAAAUGGCGGCUUAAAGAGCGAGUAAGUUUGUGAUGGGACUUUGUUUUAGAUUUUGGAUUGAUCGUAGUGCAGUUGAGGAUGAAAGAGGAGCAUAGGGCAACUACAUUCUCUAGAAUGUUUGUAAAACAGUCUGCUAUUUUGUUUACCUACUAGGUUGGGUGAUGUUAACCGAUGAAGUUUUUAUUUUGGAGACGGAAAGUUAAAAAAUUGGCAACAUGAUACACGUUUUCACUAGAGUUCCAAUGUCUCCUUGGAAAAAAAAUAUAAUUUUUCCCAGCAUAAGCUGAAUCAGGCAUUUAUUGGAUAUGUUUGCUAGGUGAUUUCUUGCUAAUCUCAUGUUGUUUUCUGGCUUUUAUUCUUUGUCUUUGCAGAUGAAAACAGGAUGUGUAGCUCUAGUUCUGUGUUUAAACAUUACUGUUGAUCCGCCGGAUGUUAUAAAGAUAUCUCCUUGUGCAAGAAUCGAGGCUUGGAUAGGUUGAGCCCCUAUUACACUCCUUCUUUUGUGUGUCUAUACUUUGUCGUUGUCGCGACAAUCAAUUUUCAUUCUCUUUUAUUUGAUGGCAGACCCAUUUUCCAUGGCGCCGCCAAAAGCUCUCGAGACUAUUGGACAAAACUUGAGCACUCAGUAUGAAAGAUGGCAACCAAGGGUGAAUAUUUGUUGCCCUGCACCCUAUCGUUAUUGUUUUGUUAAUUUGCGUUUUUCAUGUUUAUAUUGUUAUCUCUCUCAGGCUCGAUAUAAGGUUCAGUUAGAUCCGACGGUAGACGAAGUCAGGAAGCUGUGCUUGACUUGUCGGAAAUAUGCAAAGACCGAGAGGGUUCUAUUCCAUUAUAAUGGGCAUGGUGUGCCAAAGCCUACAGCUAAUGGGGAAAUUUGGGUAUUCAACAAGGUCUGGUCUUGCUAGCUUUUCUGUUAUCUACGAUGUUCUUCUUCCUUUUCCUCUUUUACCGCGUCCUGACUGAUCCUGUAUUUGAGCAGAGUUAUACGCAGUACAUUCCAUUGCCAAUCAGUGAUCUUGAUUCCUGGUUGAAGACACCGUCCAUCUAUGUUUUUGACUGCUCUGCUGCUAGGAUGAUUCUUAAUGCGUUUGCUGAGGUAAAGGAAAUAACCACUUUCCUCAAGUUACACAUCCUUCUGUCAAGUUUAAGACUUGAUUCUGCAAUGGGCGUUCCAUAAAUUGAUGAAAUUCAUUUGUUCCUUUUGACAGCUUCAUGAUUGGGGUUCGUCUGGUUCCUCUGGAUCCACAAGGGAUUGUAUUCUACUUGCUGCUUGUGACGUACAUGAGACACUUCCUCAGAGCGUUGAAUUUCCAGCUGAUGUUUUUACUGCUUGCCUCACGACACCCAUUAAAAUGGCGUUAAAAUGGUAAGUCCUAUAUUCACCUCUGAUUGUUUUUGCGUACUCAGAUGUCAUGUUUUCCUCCUACAGUACGUUCUUGUAGUUCCAUCAAGCUACUUUAUAUAAUCUUAGUUAGCAUUUUUUUUGCGGUUUGAUUUAUGCCCGUUUAGAAUUGCUAGUUCAGUUUACCUGCAAUUCUUACAAGAAGCGUUCCAUUGCAGGUUCUGCAGGCGUUCUCUUCUAAAAGAAAUAAUCGAUGAAUCACUUAUUGACAGAAUUCCCGGCCGCCAAAAUGACCGUAAGACAUUGUUAGGGGAGUUGAAUUGGAUCUUCACAGCAGUGACGGAUACAAUUGCAUGGAAUGUGCUUCCUCAUGGUAUUGCUCCAAACUUUUCACAUGAUGUAUUAGCGCCAAAUCUCUUAAUGACUUGUUUGCAUUUCUGUAUUCCUCAUGAAUGUUACUUUUACCCUGCAGAACUUUUCCAGAGAUUAUUCAGACAGGAUUUGUUGGUCGCUAGCCUUUUCCGAAAUUUCUUACUUGCUGAGAGAAUAAUGCGGUCCGCAAAUUGUAAUCCAAUAUCUCACCCUAUGCUACCUCCUACGCAUCAACAUCAUAUGUGGUAUUCAAGAAGAUCCUUAUUUUUCUGUUAGAUAAAAUGUUAUGUGUCUUGAUUUCUCUCAGCUAGUUGUUGCAUGCUUUUCAGGGAUGCAUGGGAUAUGGCUGCUGAAAUCUGCCUUUCGCACCUUCCCCAACUUGUUCUGGACCCAAACGCAGAGUUCCAGCCAAGUCCAUUUUUUACUGAGCAAUUAACAGCUUUUGAGGUGUGGCUUGAUCAUGGAUCUGAGCAUAAGAAGCCACCGGAGCAAUUGCCUGUUGUUCUUCAGGUGCAACCUAAAUUUCUAUAUUCAUUUCUAUUUAUAUUUUCGUCUGCGAGGGAGAGAAAACCAUAUUUAUUUAUCAUUUUCGCAUGGGGUUUCGUGUGGAUUUUACUUAAAGGAAUAUUAUUUGGCUCCCUUCUGGAGGUUCCAUCAUAGAACUGUUUGCAUAUUUCUUUCGUAGCGUAUUUAUAGACUCUGGUUUUCUUCAGGUGUUACUUAGCCAAUGCCAUCGGUUUCGUGCUCUUGUACUUCUUGGAAGAUUUCUUGAUAUGGGUUCAUGGGCCGUGGAUCUGGUAUUGCUUUAAACUUGAACCCCCUUUCCCUUUGGCUUACACAUAGUUUCUUCAGGUUAUAUGUCUUUAACUUGAAUUGAAUAUUCUUCUAGGCUUUGUCUGUUGGAAUAUUCCCAUAUGUGCUGAAGCUUCUGCAAACAACAACAAAUGAGCUAAGACAGAUCCUUGUUUUCAUAUGGACAAAAAUUCUGGCACUUGAUAAGGUAAUUUCGUCUUUUGUGUUCCAUGAGCUAACGAUGGUAGUUUUUCAUGCAUCUGCUUGUUGUUUUACAAAUUUGGGCUAGUUCCUAUGGUGACUCUUCUUGUGCAUCUAUUGAGAGUGACUUUAAUGGAACUCUUAUGUUUUCCAUCUCGUUAUUUUGAGAUGAAUGCUAAAUGGCACAAAUCUACCAUCUAAUAUAUUCUGAAUAUUAUAUAAUUAAUAUCAUAUCUAUGGACAUCAAAUUAAUCUCCGGCCACCGCACUUUCGUGCUGCUUAAGCCUUCUCGUCUCAGUCUUUGAAUUAUUAACAUUGACUGGUUUCUCUUUGUUUCAGUCAUGUCAAAUUGACCUUGUGAAGGAUGGGGGGCAUACAUAUUUCAUAAGAUUUCUAGAUAGCUCGGGUGCAUUUCCAGAACAACGAGCUAUGGCUGCUUUUGUUCUGGCUGUCAUAGUGGACGGACACCGACGAGGCCAGGAAGCAUGUCUUGAAGCAAAUUUGAUUGGUGUUUGUCUGGGGCACCUUGAAGCAUCGAUACCAAGUGAUCCACAGCCAGAACCAUUGUUUUUACAAUGGCUUUGUCUUUGUCUUGGAAAGUUGUGGGAAGAUUUUAUGGAGGCCCAAAUAAUGGGCAGGGAGGCAAAUGCUUUUCAAAAAUUGGCACCUCUGGUUUCCGAGCCCCA